rnacentral:rRNA from 1 species
UACGAAGGGUGCAAGCGUUACUCGGAAUUACUGGGCGUAAAGCGUGCGUAGGUGGUUUGUUAAGUCUGUUGUGAAAGCCCCGGGCUCAACCUGGGAAUGGCAAUGGAUACUGGCAGGCUAGAGUGCGGUAGAGGGUAGUGGAAUUCCCGGUGUAGCGGUGAAAUGCGUAGAGAUCGGGAGGAACACCAGUGGCGAAGGCGGUCUGCUGGGGUGAGGCUGACGCUGAUGCGCGACAGCGUGGGGAGCAAACAGG